ACCUAGGGGUUUUUGUACACCCACUAAAGGGGUCUAUGACAGUGUGACUACUUUGAUUACUGGGGCCAAGGAGUCAUGGUCACAGUCUCCUCAGCCCAAACAACAGCCCCAUCUGUCUAUCCACUGGCUCCUGGAUGUGGUGAUACAACCAGCUCCACGGUGACUCUGGGAUGCCUGGUCAAGGGCUAUUUCCCUGAGCCAGUCACCGUGACCUGGAACUCUGGAGCCCUGUCCAGCGAUGUGCACACCUUUCCAGCUGUCCUGCAGUCUGGGCUCUACACUCUCACCAGCUCAGUGACCUCCAGCACCUGGCCCAGCCAGACCGUCACCUGCAACGUAGCCCACCCGGCCAGCAGCACCAAGGUGGACAAGAAAGUUGAGCGCAGAAAUGGCGGCAUUGGACACAAAUGCCCUACAUGCCCUACAUGUCACAAAUGCCCAGUUCCUGAACUCUUGGGUGGACCAUCUGUCUUCAUCUUCCCGCCAAAGCCCAAGGACAUCCUCUUGAUCUCCCAGAACGCCAAGGUCACGUGUGUGGUGGUGGAUGUGAGCGAGGAGGAGCCGGACGUCCAGUUCAGCUGGUUUGUGAACAACGUAGAAGUACACACAGCUCAGACACAACCCCGUGAGGAGCAGUACAACAGCACCUUCAGAGUGGUCAGUGCCCUCCCCAUCCAGCACCAGGACUGGAUGAGCGGCAAGGAGUUCAAAUGCAAGGUCAACAACAAAGCCCUCCCAAGCCCCAUCGAGAAAACCAUCUCAAAACCCAAAGGGCUAGUCAGAAAACCACAGGUAUACGUCAUGGGUCCACCGACAGAGCAGUUGACUGAGCAAACGGUCAGUUUGACCUGCUUGACCUCAGGCUUCCUCCCUAACGACAUCGGUGUGGAGUGGACCAGCAACGGGCAUAUAGAAAAGAACUACAAGAACACCGAGCCAGUGAUGGACUCUGACGGUUCUUUCUUCAUGUACAGCAAGCUCAAUGUGGAAAGGAGCAGGUGGGAUAGCAGAGCGCCCUUCGUCUGCUCCGUGGUCCACGAGGGUCUGCACAAUCACCACGUGGAGAAGAGCAUCUCCCGGCCUCCGGGUAAAUGAGCACGGCACCCAGAAAGCUCUCAGGUCCUAAGGGACACUGACACCCAUCUCCACCCUUCCCUUGUGUAAAUAAAGCACCCAGCACUGCCCUGGGACCCUGCAAAA